rnacentral:rRNA from 1 species
GACGGUGGAGCAUGUGGUUUAAUUCGAAGCAACGCGAAGAACCUUACCAGGUCUUGACAUCUUUUGAUCACCUGAGAGAUCAGGUUUCCCCUUCGGGGGCAAAAUGACAGGUGGUGCAUGGUUGUCGUCAGCUCGUGUCGUGAGAUGUUGGGUUAAGUCCCGCAACGAGCGCAACCCUUAUGACUAGUUGCCAGCAUUUAGUUGGGCACUCUAGUAAGACUGCCGGUGACAAACCGGAGGAAGGUGGGGAUGACGUCAAAUCAUCAUGCCCCUUAUGACCUGGGCUACACACGUGCUACAAUGGAUGGUACAACGAGUUGCGAGACCGCGAGGUCAAGCUAAUCUCUUAAAGCCAUUCUCAGUUCGGACUGUAGGCUGCAACUCGCCUACACGAAGUCGGAAUCGCUAGUAAUCGCGGAUCAGCACGCCGCGGUGAAUACGUUCCCGGGCCUUGUACACACCGCCCGUCACACCAUGAGAGUUUGUAACACCCGAAGCCGGUGGCGUAACCCUUUUAGGGAGCGAGCCGUCUAAG